rnacentral:misc_RNA from 1 species
AAAGUCGUAACAAGGUCUCCGUUGGUGAACCAGCGGAGGGAUCAUUAAAGAGUUGCAAAACUCCCAAAACCAUUGUGAACGAACCCCUGAACAGUUGCUUCGGCAGGCUGGCACCCCGCCCCCGGGGAGCCGCCAAAAAGGCCUGCCGGAGGUACCUAAACUCUUUGUUUACCACAGGCCUCUCUGAGUAUUGCACUUAAAUAAGUCAAAACUUUCAACAACGGAUCUCUUGGUUCUG